ACGUUUUGUGCGAGGGUUAGUAAUCGACCACCGUCAAUAUUGCACUUCUCGCUCUCUCUCUCUCUCUCUCUCUCUCUCUCACACCUCCCUCUGCGCCGCACAACCUCUCCCUUCCUCCAUAUCUGCACGAAAGCUUCUUCUUCGAUCUCCUUCCGAUAUCUUCGAUUCCAAAUCCAGAAGUAAUACGAAGCCUCUCACCUUCACUGUACUCACCACCUACAUAAUCGUUAGUGAUAAUAUGCAGUCAGUUUUAUCUAGCACGAAUCUGUGCUGAAGCUCGUCACUUUUUCAGUUCAUAUUGAAGGUUCUGUUUGUUUGGAAAAAUGCUAGGUUCUUUGCCAAUCUUGCCCCUCCCUGCUCCUCCUUCCGAUGGAAAUCUUGGCCCUCUUCCCGCAUCUCAAGUGUCUGAUGUGGAAAUGGAUGAAAGGCCAUCUAACGAGGAGCAGAAUAAAGCUAAUUCGGCUCCUGCAACGGUUGCAACUCAUACGAGAACUAUUGGAAUUAUUCAUCCUCCUCCAGACAUCAGAACCAUUGUUGACAAAACUGCCCAGUUUGUUGCUAAGAAUGGACCAGAGUUUGAAAAGAGGAUUAUUGCAAAUAAUGCUGGAAAUGUGAAGUUCAAUUUCUUGAACGGAUCGGAUCCCUACCAUGCAUAUUAUCAACAUCGUCUGUCUGAAUUUCGUGCUCAGAAUCAGUCUUCUGCGCAGCAGCCUUCUUUGCAACCUGCUGAUUCUGCUGCCCCUGAGCCGGUCCCAUCUGCUCCAGCCGCUGAUGGGAACGAAGCAGCAGCGAAGGUCGAUCUGUCUGCCCAGUUUAUGCCCAUACGCAAAACUGUUGAGCCCCCAGAAGCUGAGCAGUAUACUGUUCGGCUUCCUGAAGGAAUUACUGGAGAAGAACUGGAUAUAAUUAAGCUCACGGCACAGUUUGUGGCUCGAAAUGGGAAGUCAUUCUUGACAGGAUUGACAAGCAGGGAAAUCAAUAAUCCACAGUUUCAUUUCUUGAAGCCUACUCACAGUAUGUUCAUGUUUUUCACUUCGCUUGCCGAUGCAUAUUCAAAAGUCUUGAUGCCUCCCAAGGGUUUGACAGAGAAGCUAAAGAAGAGUGUCCCUGACAUGACGACUGUGCUUGAACGAUGCAUGAAUCGGCUUGAGUGGGAGAGGUCACAAGAGCAGGCUAGGCAGAAAGCUGAGGAUGAAAAGGAGCAGGAAAGAAUAGAGAUGGCUAUGAUUGAUUGGCAUGAUUUUGUUGUGGUGGAAACAAUAGACUUUGUGGAUGAUGAGGAUGAGGACUUACCUCCUCCAAUGACCCUUGAAGAGGUUAUAAGAAGAAGUAAGGUGUCAGUUGUGGAAGAAGAUAUUGUUGAGCCAGGAAAGGAGGUGGAAAUGGAAAUGGAAAUGGAUGAAGAAGAAGUUCUGCUUGUUGAAGAGGGCAUGAGGGCAGCUAGUCUUGAAGAGAACGAUGAUGGAAAGAAGAAUGACAUGAAGAUAACAGAAGAACCUGAACCACCAAUGAGAAUUGUGAAGAACUGGAAGAGACCAGAGGAGAGGAUCCCUGCAGAAAGAGACCCAACAAAAUUUGUUGUUUCUCCAAUUACCGGUGAGUUAAUCCUCAUUAACGAGAUGUCCGAACACAUGAGGAUUUCCCUCAUUGAUCCCAAGUACAAAGAGCAGAAAGAAAGGAUGUUUGCUAAGAUUCGGGAAACUACACUUGCUCAGGACGAUGAAAUCUCCAGGAACAUUGUGGGACUUGCCCGAACCCGUCCAGACAUUUUUGGUACCACAGAGGAAGAAGUCUCUAAUGCUGUCAAGGCUGAGAUUGAGAAGAAGAAGGACGAGCAACCGAAACAGGUCAUAUGGGAUGGUCACACUGGAAGCAUUGGACGCACCGCAAACCAGGCCAUGUCGCAGAACAUGGUCGGAGAGGAUCAAAAUGACGCUGCCAAUAAUGACGCCAGAAACCUUCCUGGUCCUGCAGCUCCUCCUCCUAGACCUGGUAUGCCAUCCGUUCGUCCACUUCCUCCACCACCUGGACUAGCCUUGAACCUUCCUCGUAUGCCUCCAAACACAGUCCAGUAUUCUGCCCCAUCUAGUGUAGGGCUCCCUGUACCCCCACCCAGGCAACCAGUCAUGCCUAUGGUUCCUUCUGUUAGGCCGCCUCCACCUCCAAUGUCAAUGGCUUCUGGACAGCAAUCUCUUUUGGUUAAUCAACCACCCCCAAUGCCACCAUCAAUAUCUAUGCAUGCUCCUAGUAUGCAUGUACCACCUCCACCUGGUUCUCAGUUUACGCCUAUGCCAGUUCCCCGAAGUUAUGUUCCUCUUCCUGUACCCCCACCUACCAUGCCUAUGAUGCCUCCACCGCCGCUGCCUCAUGGAAUGCCUCCACCACCACCACCAGAGGAAGCUCCUCCACCGCUUCCAGAUGAACCAGAGCCAAAGAGGCAGAAGCACGAUGAUUCUUUGCUUAUCCCGGAAGACCAGUUUCUUGCUCAGCAUCCGGGACCCGUCCGUAUCACCAUAUCUGUUCCGAAUGUUGAUGAAGGAAAUCUCAAAGGGCAGAUUCUGGAGAUCACAGUGCAGUCCUUAUCUGAAACUGUUGGCAGUCUGAAGGAGAAAAUUGCAGGGGACAUCCAACUUCCUGCCAAUAAGCAAAAAUUAAGUGGGAAACCUGGCUUUCUCAAGGACAAUAUGUCUCUGGCAUAUUACAAUGUCGGAGCAGGAGAAAUGCUUGCUCUUUCUCUAAGAGAGCGGGGUGGUAGAAAAAGAUAAACAGCUUCCUUGACCAGGACAUUUAAGGUGGCUGGCAUGGUGGACAAUUCUUGUUACCCAGAGUAUUCCAUAUUUUACCGUGGGACUUUGUUGUUCUAUCUUGAUUAUGUCUUGGACAUGUGACUGAUCCAGCUUUGUUGGGUGAGUGCCUCAUAAAGGGCAAGGGGGCAGUUGACAAGCUCUUUUUGCUUAGGCUACUUAUGUUUGGAUUCAUGAAAGGUCUGUUUCACCCUGCAUAUGUUUCUUAAGCAGGUUGGAGAGUUCUUCCAUUUUUCCCUUUUGAUAUAGCAUUCCUUGUCCUUGUGUUUCACAGCUCUGAUGGCAGCUAUUUACACCUUUUGCAGCAUUGAUUGUUGCGAUUGGAGUAAGAGUGGGGAGCAGAUGAAUGUUAACUUUUAUCUCACUCGUUACUUGGACUUGCAUUCCUGUAUAUAUUUCUGGAUUUUUAUUUUUUAAGAUCAAUACUAUGGUCUUGUCAUGUACGUUGGUAGCAAAUAUUUUGAGUAACGAAAAUAUUAAGAGUA